rnacentral:rRNA from 2 species
CAAGGAAUUUUCCACAAUGGGCGCAAGCCUGAUGGAGCAACGCCGCGUGGGGGAUGACGCACUUCGGUGUGUAAACCCCUUUUCGAGGGGACGAAGGCAAUGACGGUACCCUCGGAAUAAGGAUCGGCUAACUACGUGCCAGCAGCCGCGGUAAGACGUAGGAUCCGAGCGUUGUCCGGAGUUACUGGGCGUAAAGCGCGCGCAGGCGGACACGCGCAUCGGCGGUGAAAGCCCCCCGCUCAACGGGGGAGGGUCCGUCGAGAUGGCGUGUCUGGAGGCAGGGAGAGGCCAGUGGAAUUCCGGGUGUAGUGGUGAAAUGCGUAGAGAUCCGGAGGAACACCAGUGGCGAAGGCGGCUGGCUGGACCUGACCUGACGCUGAGGCGCGAAGGCGUGGGGAGCGAACGGG